rnacentral:rRNA from 1 species
UACAUGUACAGGAUAGGUGGGAGGCUUUGAAACCAGGACGCCAGUUUUGGCGGAGCCAUCCUUGGGAUCCCACCCUUGUAGUACUGGGACUCUAACCAUAGGCCAUGAAUCUGGUCUUGGGACACUGUCAGGCGGGCAGUUUGACUGGGGCGGUCGCCUCCCAAAAGGUAACGGAGGCGCUCAAAGGUUCUCUCAGUACGG